rnacentral:tRNA from 1 species
UGUCUCAGUGGUAGAGUGCUUGCCUUGCAUGCAUGAGGCCCUGGGUUCGAUUCCCCAG